rnacentral:rRNA from 1 species
GACGAACGCAGGCGGCGUGCCUAAUACAUGCAGUAGAACGCUGAAGAGAGGAGCUUGCUCUUCUUGGAUGAGUUGCGAACGGGUGAGUAACGCGUAGGUAACCUGCCUGGUAGCGGGGGAUAACUAUUGGAAACGAUAGCUAAUACCGCAUGAUAUUAAUUGUCGCAUGAUAAUUAAUUGAAAGAUGCAAUUGCAUCACUACCAGAUGGACCUGCGUUGUAUUAGCUAGUUGGUGAGGUAACGGCUCACCAAGGCGACGAUACAUAGCCGACCUGAGAGGGUGAUCGGCCACACUGGGACUGAGACACGGCCCAGACUCCUACGGGAGGCAGCAGUAGGGAAUCUUCGGCAAUGGGGGGAACCCUGACCGAGCAACGCCGCGUGAGUGAAGAAGGUUUUCGGAUCGUAAAGCUCUGUUGUAAGAGAAGAACGGGUGUGAGAGUGGAAAGUUCACACUGUGACGGUAUCUUACCAGAAAGGGACGGCUAACUACGUGC